AGUGAACGCUGGCGGUAGGCCUAACACAUGCAAGUCGAACGGCAGCACAGUAAGAGCUUGCUCUUACGGGUGGCGAGUGGCGGACGGGUGAGGAAUACAUCGGAAUCUACUUUUUCGUGGGGGAUAACGUAGGGAAACUUACGCUAAUACCGCAUACGACCUACGGGUGAAAGCAGGGGAUCUUCGGACCUUGCGCGAUUGAAUGAGCCGAUGCCGGAUUAGCUAGUUGGCGGGGUAAAGGCCCACCAAGGCGACGAUCCGUAGCUGGUCUGAGAGGAUGAUCAGCCACACUGGAACUGAGACACGGUCCAGACUCCUACGGUAGGCAGCAGUGGGGAAUAUUGGACAAUGGGCGCAAGCCUGAUCCAGCCAUACCGCGUGGGUGAAGAAGGCCUUCGGGUUGUAAAGCCCUUUUGUUGGGAAAGAAAAGCAGCAGGUUGAUACCCCGCUGUUCUGACGGUACCCAAAGAAUAAGCACCGGCUAACUUCGUG
rnacentral:rRNA from 1 species